rnacentral:lncRNA from 1 species
UCCAUUCGAAGAGACAAUCUGUCCAGAAGUGCCUCCAGGGAGCCGAUGUCCCUCCCCGGCUUAAACCUGCAAAUCGACAGUCGUCACAAAUCAUUAGGAAACUUAGGUAUCACUCUCUAUGUUCAAACACAAAUGGUACGCGUUCCAGUACUAGUAUCUUUCGUGUGUCACAGGGAGGAUCUCAUUCAUAGGCCAAAAUCAAGGCCACGGAAGGUGGACACGCCACCUGCAUCCGAAGAGGGUACUAGCGUUAAGCGCCACUCGACGUUCGGACAACGAGGGAUGAAACGACGAAAGAAACGUUCGAGUAUCUUAUCGGCGAUCAGUCUAGUGAUGAUAAUCUCGCUGGAUAAUUAGCUCUCACCUGGCUCCGAGGUAGUGGUUGCAGUUCCACCAGCCUCGUUGCCGCCACCCACGCUUCCGUCACCCGCUACCUCCUCGUACUGCCCCAGCCUGGAGCCGGCACGCAAACUCGACUGAUUUUCAGCUACGAUCAUCGGCACACAGCCGACGCCUUUUGCCUCCUCUCUCCUUAGACUUCCUGGAAAAAAGAAAUUCGAAGAGAAAUUAGAAAUGAAAUUAGAAACAUAAUAGAAGGAGUCAAUAAAAAUGAAGGAGUCAGUCUUUGCAAGGAGUCAUUAAAAAUGAAGGCUGCAACACAGUUCCCAACAUGAAGUUAAUUCGUAAAUUAUCUUAUUCUCAUUAGGUGGACAGAGCCUGGAGGUGCUACCUCUGCGUACCUCGAUCAACUGAUGCCAGCCAGCGCUUCCAAGCAGUUUUACCGUAAAAUUGCUUGUCAAAAUUGAUGGAUCGUCAAACGCUGUUUUUUCUCCCUCAAGAAUUCAAGGUUUCUUCUUUACGCCUACACCUGCAGUAUGAGAAGCGUUGUCCAAGAAAAUAUGCCGGCAAAACGUCCACGUGUCGCGUGAUUGCCAGAGAUUCCUGAUCGAUUGACCGUUCAACGCUUACGAUGCACUUUUACAUUAUAGCUGCGGUUUACUGCAGAUCAAUCGAUCGACUUCAUCUUACCUAAUCAAAAAAUCCACUAGAUUCUACGAAUUUAACACUCCUGCAGUUUUGGAUUACAUAUCAGAUGUGUAGAGAGUCAAUGGUUCGAUAACAAACACUUUACAUCGUGCACCUUCACAAAUUAAGGUCACGAACACUAUUCAAAUCUAUUAACUUCAGAUUUUCAAGUUCUUCAGAUUUCAAGACUAACUAAUUUCCAAAUAAAGCUUUCAGGUCAGUUAGCUUCUAGUUAAAGUCAACUUCACUUUCAAGUUAACUUCUAAGUCAGUAGAGUUUUAUUAUAUGCACUACAAAGGUUUGUUCAAAGCAGGUUCCAUGGUUCAAGACCAACAUCACGUAACGGCUUUACACCAGCGUACCUUGAAGAGCUAGGGUCACGAACUCUGAGCACGGAUUUAACCAGCCUGCUAUCUUCGACCAUUGAGUCACAUCUAACCAUAGAUGUUCAUUUAAAAAUUUCAGACUGUAGCGAGUAACUCUUCUAGGUAGUUGCACUUGUCACGAGGAGAUCCAUUCUGGCACAGCAGGGGGUGCAGCAUUUCCAUUCAUCGCACUGACGUUCUUAUCGAGCCAGUUGCAAGAAGUUCCUCAGCGCCGAAAGAAAGAAAAGUGCAAGAUGGAAAAACGCGUGCAACGCCGUGAUCGUUCAUCGACACCAGAACACGAGAUAAGAGACCGGCGU